AUUAGAGGAACGCAGGGCUAAAACCGCCACGUCCUGUGGCAACGCCUGCAUGAACCGCGUCCUGCGGG
rnacentral:sRNA from 17 species